CGAGAGGUGGGCGAACCCAGAGGAAACGGCCCGCGCCCGGGCAGGACCUGGAGGCCGACAUGCCGUCCCUCGACCCCUCCCCGUCACGUCACGGCACUUACCUCCUCGCAGCUGGGGCGCUCCGGUGAUCCGGUCCCGUCAGUUCAGAUCGUCUCUCCCCGACCGCCGCGCCUGACUGACCCGGAUCCAAACCCGCGGCAGGGGCGGCCCGCGCCUCCGGAGUCGCAUUGCGCCUGCGUCAUUCGGCACGCGCCCCGCCUCCUGCUCAUGCCCCUCCCACCCCAGUGACUCGGCAACGCAGUAGGCAUGGCCGCGCAGGCGCGCGGUGGAGGACGCGUCUCACCAUGCCCCGCCCCGCCCCUCUCAGAAGCACGUGCGCUCGCGUCAUUUCCUGUUAUUCUUUUCGCUCCCACUCCGGUGUUGUGGGUUUGCUGGGGACCGACUCUUGGGGCGUGUCUGCUUCCUCUUUUUUUGUCAGGGCCUUCUGAGAAGCGAGGAGGUAUCGGUCAUAGUUGUGACCAGGAAUGCGAGGCCAGAAUUAAAACCGAAAUGCCUUCGCUUCUGAUGCCUCUGUUUGAUUCAAGGCAACUGCUUAUCCCGAUUCAAGGCAACUGCUUAUCCCUCUCUGAGCCUCAGUUUCUUCGUCUAGUAAAUGAGGAAGUUGGACGAUAUCUGCACGUGUCCUUUUUUCAGGGACUUCUUUGAGAAUCUGGUGAGAACUAUAGACCCUUUCGCCAGAGAAAUGCACAUACACACCAAAGUUUUCCACAAAGUUUAGGCAGGUCACCUACGUCGGUGAUUUUUUUAGGGAUCGCUAUAUAUUUAUGAUUCUGAUGGUUACUCAGCAGAUGGGAAAGGGGUGAGCUCUGCAGCAGCUGCUGCCUCCUCCAUCACUAGGACUGGUUCUGCCAAUCUAGCUAUGCCUCUCCUCACCUGCCUUUGCCCAGCUCCACUUCUCAAAGCUUCGUGGGAAAAGAUGACUGUCUCAAUUCUGUUACUUUUGACCCAAUGUCACAAUGGCAAAAGGUGUGACUUUUGCAGUCGAGGGGAAGAAAUAAAGAAUGUCCACGCUUCUGCCUUUGUC
rnacentral:lncRNA from 1 species